CAGGUCUAGAACUCCUGACCUCAGGUGAUCCGCCCGCCUUGGCCUCCAAAAGGCGUGAGCCACUGUGCCCGGCAGAGCUUAUCUUUGAUUACAGAUUUCUUCUGGGGAAUAGCUUAGUUUGUGGUUUUGUUUUUCAAAACUCUGCUUCAGCAAAGAUGUGGGGAAAAAAAAGGGGCUAUGGAAACUCUUCUGAUUCCAGUUAUGGUGAUGGAAGACAGCCACCAGGAAACCCUGCCGAAAGAAUGGGUCAGAUCAAUAAUCUGAGUGGUCCCAGUUCUCCUCCAAUGGCUGAUGGAUGAGAAAGGAAGUCACUCUAAAAACUCAGGUUUACACAACAUCUACUUGUACAAUCAAGCACACACUCUCAGGCUGCAUGAAGCACUGUCGCAGACAGGACUGCAAACCCUCUCAGGGGUGAGAAUGGCUGGCAGCAGUGCUCAGGAGAGGGAUGUGGCAGGAGUCAGCUCCUAGGAAGUGCCAGCGCCCACGCACCUGUGAGCUCCUGGAGUCUGACUCACCGGGUAAGUGAAUUCUUGUAAUUUCCCCAAACAGCCCUGGGGUUCCCCUAAACCAGACCGUGAGCCUCUUGAGACGGCGGAUACCCAGCAGUGCCCAGAACCUGGGAAGGAG
rnacentral:lncRNA from 1 species